rnacentral:tRNA from 1 species
GGGAAAGUAGCUCAGUGGUAGAGCGCUUGCCUAGCAUGCAUGGGUCCUGGGUUCAAUUCCUUAGCACCA